UACGUAGGUGGCAAGCGUUGUCCGGAAUUAUUGGGCGUAAAGCGCGCGCAGGCGGUCCUUUAAGUCUGAUGUGAAAGCCCACGGCUCAACCGUGGAGGGUCAUUGGAAACUGGGGGGACUUGAGUACAGAAGAGAAGAGUGGAAUUCCACGUGUAGCGGUGAAAUGCGUAGAGAUGUGGAGGAACACCAGUGGCGAAGGCGACUCUUUGGUCUGUAACUGACGCUGAGGCGCGAAAGCGUGGGGAGCAAACAGG
rnacentral:rRNA from 1 species